CCCUUAGAUGUUCUGGGCCGCACGCGCACUACACUGAUGCAUUCAACGAGUUUCUUCCUGGUCCGAGAGGAAUGGGUAACCUUUUGAAAGUGCAUCGUGAUAGGGAUAGACUAUUGCAAUUAUUGGUCUUCAACGAGGAAUUCCUAGUAGACGUAGUUCAUCAGACUGCAUCGAUUACGUCCCCGCCCUUUGUACACACCGCCCGUCGCUCCUACCGAUUGAAUGCUCAGGUGAGCCAUUCGGACUUUCAUCAUGCUGGUUUCCAGUUUUGAUGAAGGAAAGUCUUGCGAACCUUAUCAUUUAGAGGAAGGAGAAGUCGUAACA
rnacentral:rRNA from 1 species